UAACAAGAGACUUAGUAGUUUUAUUGCUAUACCGUCUUAGGUUUUUAUUUAUUGGUUAUUUAGAAAGAAGUAUAUGUUAAUUUACAUCUCUUUUGGUUGAGAGGAAUCAUGUUUAUGGCUUUCUUUUUAUAAAUUUUACAGGUUAUAGGUUUUACAUAUUUUAUGUUAUUUAAAUUACAGUUAUGGAAUAAAUUUAUUAUUAAAAAUUUUGUUUUUCUUACCUUUUGUAUAAUGGUUAAACUAAAAUUAGAUUAUUUAAUUUUUCCCGAAUUGAGAAGAGCUAUCUAAAAACCAGUUUUAGGUUGGUAAAACUUAUGUGGAAAUAUGGGUGGAAGAUUUUUAGAUAGGGGCGAAAUACUUUCAAUCUCAAGAUAUCUGGAAGCUCGAGAAAAGCAUUUAGUGCUUUAAAGUGAAGUAUAAAGUGUUUAGAUUUUAUACUAUACAGUAUAGGAAUUUUUAUUAAGGUUUUCUAGGGUUAAACUUCUGGAUUGUUUAAGUUAAAAAUUAAUUUCUUUUUUUUAAUAUCUGUUAAAUUUAUCGAGAUUUUCUUUAUAAUUAAAUUAUGAAUUAAUAAUGUUUAAAUUAGUAAUAAGUUGAUUUUAAGAUUAAAUUAGUUUCUGAGGAACUUGUUUUAAUUACUAAAUAGCUUGAAGGAACUCGGCAAAAAUAGACUUGGACUGUUUAACAAAAACAUAGCCAUUAGAAGAUAUUUAUGGUUAAACCUGCCCAAUGUUACAGAUAAUCAAUGGCCGCGGUACCCUGACCGUGCUAAGGUAGCGUAAUCAGUUGGCUUUUAAAUGGAGUCGGGAAUGAAUGGGAAAACCGGGUUUAGCUGUCUCCUAGCUACUAUAUUGAAUUUACUGUUUAAGUGAAAAAGCUUAAAUAUAAUAAAAAGACGAGAAGACCCUUAGAAUUUUUUUUAAAGUAAGAUUUUCUUAUAAUGAUUUUGUUGGGGCGACAAAGAAAUAUUUAAAACUUUCUUUAAAUUUACAAGCCGAUAUUGUUAAGUAAGAAUAAAUUACCUGAGGGAUAACAGCAUUAUUCUACAGUUUGAGUUUGUGACCUCGAUGUUGGACUAGGAAACUAACAGGCUAGCCGUUUGUUGUGUGGGUUCUGUUCGAACUUUAAUUCCU
rnacentral:rRNA from 1 species